GGGUUGUGAGGUUAAGCGACUAAGCGUACACGGUGGAUGCCCUGGCAGUCAGAGGCGAURRACUACGUACUAMWCUGACGAURMKCAGACGGUAMGKAGCURURMAUCGWUCGAUGCKSMGAYKUACKANNGCUGUACAUCGAUCGAUGYCKMCASACGUACGUAGCUGUACMAUCGAUCGAUGCUCAGACGUACGUAGCUGUACAUCGAUCGAUGCUCAGACGUACGUAGCUGUACAUCGAUCGAUGCUCAGACGUACGUAGCUGUACAUCGAUCGAUGCUCGAAUCAGUGUGUGUGUUAGUGGAAGCGUCUGGAAAGGCGCGCGAUACAGGGUGACAGCCCCGUACACAAAAAUGCACAUGCUGUGAGCUCGAUGAGUAGGGCGGGACACGUGGUAUCCUGUCUGAAUAUGGGGGGACCAUCCUCCAAGGCUAAAUACUCCUGACUGACCGAUAGUGAACCAGUACCGUGAGGGAAAGGCGNAAAAGAACCCCGGCGAGGGGAGUGNAAAAAGAACCUGAAACCGUGUACGUACAAGCAGUGGGAGCCUCUUUUAUGGGGUGACUGCGUACCUUUUGUAUAAUGGGUCAGCGACUUAUAUUCUGUAGCAAGGUUAACCGAAUAGGGGAGCCGAAGGGAAACCGAGUCUUAACCGGGCGUUAAGUUGCAGGGUAUAGACCCGAAACCCGGUGAUCUAGCCAUGGGCAGGUUGAAGGUUGGGUAACACUAACUGGAGGACCGAACCGACUAAUGUUGAAAAAUUAGCGGAUGACUUGUGGCUGGGGGUGAAAGGCCAAUCAAACCGGGAGAUAGCUGGUUCUCCCCGAAAGCUAUUUAGGUAGCGCCUCGUGAAUUCAUCUCCGGGGGUAGAGCACUGUUUCGGCAAGGGGGUCAUCCCGACUUACCAACCCGAUGCAAACUGCGAAUACCGGAGAAUGUUAUCACGGGAGACACACGGCGGGUGCUAACGUCCGUCGUGAAGAGGGAAACAACCCAGACCGCCAGCUAAGGUCCCAAAGUCAUGGUUAAGUGGGAAACGAUGUGGGAAGGCCCAGACAGCCAGGAUGUUGGCUUAGAAGCAGCCAUCAUUUAAAGAAAGCGUAAUAGCUCACUGGUCGAGUCGGCCUGCGCGGAAGAUGUAACGGGGCUAAACCAUGCACCGAAGCUGCGGCAGCGACACUGUGUGUUGUUGGGGUAGGGGAGCGUUCUGUAAGCCUGGUUACGGNNNNNNNNNNNNNNNNNNNNNNNNNNNNNAGUGCGAAUGCUGACAUAAGUAACGAUAAAGCGGGUGAAAAGCCCGCUCGCCGGAAGACCAAGGGUUCCUGUCCAACGUUAAUCGGGGCAGGGUGAGUCGACCCCUAAGGCGAGGCCGAAAGGCGUAGUCGAUGGGAAACAGGUUAAUAUUCCUGUACUUGGUGUUACUGCGAAGGGGGGACGGAGAAGGCUAUGUUGGCCGGGCGACGGUUGUCCCGGUUUAAGCGUGUAGGCUGGUUUUCCAGGCAAAUCCGGAAAAUCAAGGCUGAGGCGUGAUGACGAGGCACUACGGUGCUGAAGCAACAAAUGCCCUGCUUCCAGGAAAAGCCUCUAAGCAUCAGGUAACAUCAAAUCGUACCCCAAACCGACACAGGUGGUCAGGUAGAGAAUACCAAGGCGCUUGAGAGAACUCGGGUGAAGGAACUAGGCAAAAUGGUGCCGUAACUUCGGGAGAAGGCACGCUGAUAUGUAGGUGAAGUCCCUCGCGGAUGGAGCUGAAAUCAGUCGAAGAUACCAGCUGGCUGCAACUGUUUAUUAAAAACACAGCACUGUGCAAACACGAAAGUGGACGUAUACGGUGUGACGCCUGCCCGGUGCCGGAAGGUUAAUUGAUGGGGUCAGCGCAAGCGAAGCUCUUGAUCGAAGCCCCGGUAAACGGCGGCCGUAACUAUAACGGUCCUAAGGUAGCGAAAUUCCUUGUCGGGUAAGUUCCGACCUGCACGAAUGGCGUAAUGAUGGCCAGGCUGUCUCCACCCGAGACUCAGUGAAAUUGAACUCGCUGUGAAGAUGCAGUGUACCCGCGGCAAGACGGAAAGACCCCGUGAACCUUUACUAUAGCUUGACACUGAACAUUGAGCCUUGAUGUGUAGGAUAGGUGGGAGGCUUUGAAGUGUGGACGCCAGUCUGCAUGGAGCCGACCUUGAAAUACCACCCUUUAAUGUUUGAUGUUCUAACGUGGACCCGUGAUCCGGGUUGCGGACAGUGUCUGGUGGGUAGUUUGACUGGGGCGGUCUCCUCCUAAAGAGUAACGGAGGAGCACGAAGGUUGGCUAAUCCUGGUCGGACAUCAGGAGGUUAGUGCAAUGGCAUAAGCCAGCUUGACUGCGAGCGUGACGGCGCGAGCAGGUGCGAAAGCAGGUCAUAGUGAUCCGGUGGUUCUGAAUGGAAGGGCCAUCGCUCAACGGAUAAAAGGUACUCCGGGGAUAACAGGCUGAUACCGCCCAAGAGUUCAUAUCGACGGCGGUGUUUGGCACCUCGAUGUCGGCUCAUCACAUCCUGGGGCUGAAGUAGGUCCCAAGGGUAUGGCUGUUCGCCAUUUAAAGUGGUACGCGAGCUGGGUUUAGAACGUCGUGAGACAGUUCGGUCCCUAUCUGCCGUGGGCGCUGGAGAACUGAGGGGGGCUGCUCCUAGUACGAGAGGACCGGAGUGGACGCAUCACUGGUGUUCGGGUUGUCAUGCCAAUGGCACUGCCCGGUAGCUAAAUGCGGAAGAGAUAAGUGCUGAAAGCAUCUAAGCACGAAACUUGCCCCGAGAUGAGUUCUCCCUGACCCUUUAAGGGUCCUGAAGGAACGUUGAAGACGACGACGUUGAUAGGCCGGGUGUGUAAGCGCAGCGAUGCGUUGAGCUAACCGGUACUAAUGAACCGUGAGGCUUAACCUUACAACGCCGAAGGUGUUU
rnacentral:rRNA from 1 species